UUCAUUGGAAAGCAUCCUGCUCAAAUGAGUGUCCCACAACUCAGACAAGGAGUUUAUUGCUCCUGAAAAAAAUUUCAUGACUGAGACACUCAUUCGAGCGAGAUGUUUUGCAAGGAAGACAAACAUUCUUUUGAAGAAGCAUAAUAAUAAUGAUAAUUGAGGAUUAGUUGUGCAAGUAUUAGUCAGUUAAGGUGGUGGACAGAAAGACUACAGCAUCAAUCACAAAAAAAGAGAGCAAUAUCACCAGCCUCUCACUACUCAACGUCAAACACGAGCCCACGAAGCAAGACAGGGUAAAGAUUUUAGGAAGAUGAUGAUCAACAAAUGAAGUUUAGCAGGUUAGCAGCUAUAGUAGUGUAGAUUUAAGGAUCAAAGAUGGCAGCUCAAAUUGUUACACACUUGAUGAAGAAACUCUAAGUCGAGGUGACAUAUUGUACACAAUAGCAUAAGAGCAAAGUACACAUAUCAUAUUUUUUUAUA